UGCCUAACACAUGCAAGUCGUACGAGAAACACGUCCUUCGGGGCGUGGAGUAAAGUGGCGCACGGGUGAGUAACACGUGGGUAACCUGCCCUUGGAACCGGGAUAACUGGCCGAAAGGCCCGCUAAUACCGGAUAAGACCACAAAGGCCUUGGCCUAAGUGGCCAAAGUCGGCCUAUCGAAAAAGCCGGCGCCCAAGGAUGGGCCCGCGGACCAUUAGCUAGUUGGUGAGGUACGGCUCACCAGGCCGAGAUGGUUAGCUGGUCUGAAAGGAUGAUCAGCCCCCUGGAACUGAAAUACGGUCCAACUCCUACGGGAGCAACAGUGAGGAAUUUGCCCAUGAAGGAACUCUGACGCACCACCCCGCUGGGGGAAGAAGCUUUCGGGUGUAAGCCUUGUCAGGUGGAAGAAACCUUUUGAAAAAAAGCCCAAAAACUGACGGCCCCCAAAGGAAGCCCGGGUUAUUCCUGGCAAAAACCCCGUUUCGAUGCAACGGGAGAACCUUUCCCUGGGCUGGAAUCCCCCGGCAACUUUGGAAACAUAUCUCCUUCGGCCGGUGACAGUUCUGAAUGCUGUCGUCAGCUCGGUUCUGAGAUGUUGGUUAAGUCCCGCAACGAGCGCACCCCUGCCUUUAGUUGCCAGCAUUAAGUUGGGCACUCUAGAAGGACUGCCGGUGUUAAACCGGAGGAAGGUGGGGAUGACGUCAAGUCCUCAUGGCCCUUAUGUCCAGGGCUACACACGUGCUACAAUGGAUCGCACAAAGGGGAUGCAAACCCGCGAGGUCGAGCAAAUCCCACAAAACGAUCCUCAGUUCGGAUUGGAGUCUGCAACUCGACUCCAUGAAGUUGGAAUCGCUAGUAAUCGCGGAUCAGCACGCCGCGGUGAAUACGUUCCCGGGCCUUGUACACACCGCCCGUCACACCACGAAAGCUGAUUGCACCAGAAGUCGUUGGGCUAACCCGC
rnacentral:rRNA from 1 species